CGCGUAGGCGGUGCUGUAAGUCUGUGGUGAAAUCUCUGGGCUCAACUCAGAGUCUGCCAUAGAAACUGCAGUGCUGGAGUGUGGGAGAGGUGAGUGGAAUUCCCGGUGUAGCGGUGAGAUGCGUAGAUAUCGGGAGGAACACCUGUGGCGAAAGCGGCUCACUGGACCACAACUGAGCUGAGGCGCGAAAGCUAGGGGAGCAAACA
rnacentral:rRNA from 1 species